UAUUUUUAGUAGAGACGGGGUUUCACCGUGUUAGCCAGAAUGGUCUCGAUCUCCUGACCUCACGAUCUGCCCACCUCGGCUUCUCAAAGUGCUGGGAUUACAGGCGUGAGCCACCACGCCCAGGCCUAGACAUUUUUUAAACUGCUAUGUUUGUUACAUACCAUGAUCCUAAUCUUAACUCUUUUUGUGUGUUUAGUGAGACCCCAUUUCAAAAAAAAAAGUUGUUUAAUGAGAAGGUCGUAGCUGAUCUAUACUUACAUAAUUCUGGGAACAAUUAUAGUAUUUGUUGUUGUUAUCUGAGUGUUCUCUGUGUUGGUUGCUGGGGAGAAAAAGAAACAAGUUGGUAGUCGCUCUUCUCCGUGGUAGAUAUGCUUGAUUUGGGAACGAGUACUGAAUAUAGUUGAAAAGAGAAGAAAUUGGUAUUCCUUAUUUCCUUAUUCAGUUUUCUGCCUGCUGAAAGCAAUAAGUAUGUUACCUCACAUUCCUCCCUUAUUGUUUGCUUGCAGUAGUCCCCCUCAGAGUAGUACUUGAAAGUUGGAAAUAGGUAGAAAUGUGAACCUUGUAUAGUAGGGCUAAUCAA
rnacentral:lncRNA from 1 species